rnacentral:lncRNA from 1 species
CCAGCUACUCGGGAGGCUGAGGCAGGAGAAUCACUUGAACCCGGGAGGCACAGGUUGCAGUGAGCUGAGAUCGUGCCACUGCACUCCAGCCUGGGAGACAAAGCGAGACCUUGUCUCAAAUGAAAAACAAAAAACCCCAAAACAAAACAAAACAAAAACAAAAACGACCUCUGAGAUAAUCAAGCGAGAGCUAUGCAAAUCUCCAAGUUAUGAGGGAGGAAAGCCAGGGGUGAGACUGAAGACAGAGGGCUUGGCUGCUCUGAAUGAGGUUAA